rnacentral:rRNA from 1 species
AGAGUUUGAUCCUGGCUCAGGAUGAACGCUGGCGGCGUGCCUAACACAUGCAAGUCGAGCGAUUCUCUUCGGAGAAGAGCGGCGGACGGGUGAGUAACGCGUGGGUAACCUGCCCUGUACACACGGAUAACAUACCGAAAGGUAUGCUAAUACGAGAUAAUAUGCUUUUAUCGCAUGGUAGAAGUAUCAAAGCUUUUGCGGUACAGGAUGGACCCGCGUCUGAUUAGCUAGUUGGUAAGGUAACGGCUUACCAAGGCGACGAUCAGUAGCCGACCUGAGAGGGUGAUCGGCCACAUUGGAACUGAGACACGGUCCAAACUCCUACGGGAGGCAGCAGUGGGGAAUAUUGCACAAUGGGCGAAAGCCUGAUGCAGCAACGCCGCGUGAGCGAUGAAGGCCUUCGGGUCGUAAAGCUCUGUCCUCAAGGAAGAUAAUGACGGUACUUGAGGAGGAAGCCCCGGCUAACUACGUGCCAGCAGCCGCGGU